CUUAUGAUGAAAUUAAUUUGGUCCGUGUUUAUGAUUUUAUAUGAUUUUAUUUAUUAAUUUCAAAUUACUGAUACAU
rnacentral:snoRNA from 1 species